rnacentral:misc_RNA from 1 species
CGCACAUUGCGCCUACUGGUAUUCCGGUAGGCAUGCCUGUUCGAGCGUCAGCAAAACCUUUCAGCUAUAAUUUUAUUAUUACGGCUGGUUAUGGGCUGAGGAGGACUGGCCAUUUGGCUGCUCCUGCCUUAAACUUGCUGCACGACCGCAAGCUUAUGCUAGGUUAAUGAAGUGGUGUUUACAUAUAUUUCAGCGACCGUUCAUAGCUUGGUGGCGUUAAACUUGAUGUUGCCUUUUGGCAACUGAUCUUUGACCUCGAAUCAGACAAGGAUACCCGCUGAACUUAA